GGGUUGUGAGGUUAAGCGACUAAGCGUACACGGUGGAUGCCCUGGCAGUCAGAGGCGAUGAAGGACGUGCUAAUCUGCGAUAAGCGUCGGUAAGGUGAUAUGAACCGUUAUAACCGGCGAUUUCCGAAUGGGGAAACCCAGUGUGUUUCGACACACUAUCAUUAACUGAAUCCAUAGGUUAAUGAGGCGAACCGGGGGAACUGAAACAUCUAAGUACCCCGAGGAAAAGAAAUCAACCGAGAUUCCCCCAGUAGCGGCGAGCGAACGGGGAGCAGCCCAGAGCCUGAAUCAGUGUGUGUGUUAGUGGAAGCGUCUGGAAAGGCGUGCGAUACAGGGUGACAGCCCCGUACACAAAAAUGCACAUAUUGUGAGCUCGAUGAGUAGGGCGGGACACGUGGUAUCCUGUCUGAAUAUGGGGGGACCAUCCUCCAAGGCUAAAUACUCCUGACUGACCGAUAGUGAACCAGUACCGUGAGGGAAAGGCGAAAAGAACCCCGGCGAGGGGAGUGAAAAAGAACCUGAAACCGUGUACGUACAAGCAGUGGGAGCACGCUUAGGCGUGUGACUGCGUACCUUUUGUAUAAUGGGUCAGCGACUUAUAUUCUGUAGCAAGGUUAACCGAAUAGGGGAGCCGAAGGGAAACCGAGUCUUAACUGGGCGUUAAGUUGCAGGGUAUAGACCCGAAACCCGGUGAUCUAGCCAUGGGCAGGUUGAAGGUUGGGUAACACUAACUGGAGGACCGAACCGACUAAUGUUGAAAAAUUAGCGGAUGACUUGUGGCUGGGGGUGAAAGGCCAAUCAAACCGGGAGAUAGCUGGUUCUCCCCGAAAGCUAUUUAGGUAGCGCCUCGUGAAUUCAUCUCCGGGGGUAGAGCACUGUUUCGGCAAGGGGGUCAUCCCGACUUACCAACCCGAUGCAAACUGCGAAUACCGGAGAAUGUUAUCACGGGAGACACACGGCGGGUGCUAACGUCCGUCGUGAAGAGGGAAACAACCCAGACCGCCAGCUAAGGUCCCAAAGUCAUGGUUAAGUGGGAAACGAUGUGGGAAGGCCCAGACAGCCAGGAUGUUGGCUUAGAAGCAGCCAUCAUUUAAAGAAAGCGUAAUAGCUCACUGGUCGAGUCGGCCUGCGCGGAAGAUGUAACGGGGCUAAACCAUGCACCGAAGCUGCGGCAGCGACGCUUAUGCGUUGUUGGGUAGGGGAGCGUUCUGUAAGCCUGCGAAGGUGUGCUGUGAGGCAUGCUGGAGGUAUCAGAAGUGCGAAUGCUGACAUAAGUAACGAUAAAGCGGGUGAAAAGCCCGCUCGCCGGAAGACCAAGGGUUCCUGUCCAACGUUAAUCGGGGCAGGGUGAGUCGACCCCUAAGGCGAGGCCGAAAGGCGUAGUCGAUGGGAAACAGGUUAAUAUUCCUGUACUUGGUGUUACUGCGAAGGGGGGACGGAGAAGGCUAUGUUGGCCGGGCGACGGUUGUCCCGGUUUAAGCGUGUAGGCUGGUUUUCCAGGCAAAUCCGGAAAAUCAAGGCUGAGGCGUGAUGACGAGGCACUACGGUGCUGAAGCAACAAAUGCCCUGCUUCCAGGAAAAGCCUCUAAGCAUCAGGUAACAUCAAAUCGUACCCCAAACCGACACAGGUGGUCAGGUAGAGAAUACCAAGGCGCUUGAGAGAACUCGGGUGAAGGAACUAGGCAAAAUGGUGCCGUAACUUCGGGAGAAGGCACGCUGAUACGUAGGUGAAGUCCCUCGCGGAUGGAGCUGAAAUCAGUCGAAGAUACCAGCUGGCUGCAACUGUUUAUUAAAAACACAGCACUGUGCAAACACGAAAGUGGACGUAUACGGUGUGACGCCUGCCCGGUGCCGGAAGGUUAAUUGAUGGGGUCAGCGCAAGCGAAGCUCUUGAUCGAAGCCCCGGUAAACGGCGGCCGUAACUAUAACGGUCCUAAGGUAGCGAAAUUCCUUGUCGGGUAAGUUCCGACCUGCACGAAUGGCGUAAUGAUGGCCAGGCUGUCUCCACCCGAGACUCAGUGAAAUUGAACUCGCUGUGAAGAUGCAGUGUACCCGCGGCAAGACGGAAAGACCCCGUGAACCUUUACUAUAGCUUGACACUGAACAUUGAGCCUUGAUGUGUAGGAUAGGUGGGAGGCUUUGAAGUGUGGACGCCAGUCUGCAUGGAGCCGACCUUGAAAUACCACCCUUUAAUGUUUGAUGUUCUAACGUGGACCCGUAAUCCGGGUUGCGGACAGUGUCUGGUGGGUAGUUUGACUGGGGCGGUCUCCUCCUAAAGAGUAACGGAGGAGCACGAAGGUUGGCUAAUCCUGGUCGGACAUCAGGAGGUUAGUGCAAUGGCAUAAGCCAGCUUGACUGCGAGCGUGACGGCGCGAGCAGGUGCGAAAGCAGGUCAUAGUGAUCCGGUGGUUCUGAAUGGAAGGGCCAUCGCUCAACGGAUAAAAGGUACUCCGGGGAUAACAGGCUGAUACCGCCCAAGAGUUCAUAUCGACGGCGGUGUUUGGCACCUCGAUGUCGGCUCAUCACAUCCUGGGGCUGAAGUAGGUCCCAAGGGUAUGGCUGUUCGCCAUUUAAAGUGGUACGCGAGCUGGGUUUAGAACGUCGUGAGACAGUUCGGUCCCUAUCUGCCGUGGGCGCUGGAGAACUGAGGGGGGCUGCUCCUAGUACGAGAGGACCGGAGUGGACGCAUCACUGGUGUUCGGGUUGUCAUGCCAAUGGCACUGCCCGGUAGCUAAAUGCGGAAGAGAUAAGUGCUGAAAGCAUCUAAGCACGAAACUUGCCCCGAGAUGAGUUCUCCCUGACUCCUUGAGAGUCCUGAAGGAACGUUGAAGACGACGACGUUGAUAGGCCGGGUGUGUAAGCGCAGCGAUGCGUUGAGCUAACCGGUACUAAUGAACCGUGAGGCUUAACCUUACAACGCCGAAGCUGUU
rnacentral:rRNA from 1 species